GGACCGCUGCAGCCGAGGCAGGGGGCAGGGCGAAGUCCCGGGAGCUGGGGAGGAGUGGUCUGCACGAAGUGGCAGGGCUCCUGAAGAAGAGCAUAGAGCAGGAAGCAACCUCCUGGCAGCGGAGGCUGGUAGACGGUGGAAGGAAACAUGGCAUUGGGGCCCGGACUCUGAAGCAAGGUGAUGAGGACGCAGAGAAAGAGGGAUUAGGCUGGCUGAAGAUGGUGUCUUGAGAGCAGCAGGACGGGUGGAAACGGCUUGUGGACCACACACCACAGUAGGGGGAGGCAUUGUUCUUAGUCAAUGCCAGCAAUAGCCAGCCGAGGAUACAGGGGAACGGGUCCCCGCAAAAUGAUGUCAGGCUGUGGAUGUAGGGCUGAGAAGCAGAUGUGGUGGAGAUGACUAUGGCCCUGGUGUCUGCCAGCCUCUGGAACGGGGGCCACAAGAGCAGUCAGGCACCUAGGACUGUGCCAGGUAAGGGAACUUCUUGGCCUGUCUAGCAUCUGCAGUGGGGACCCGCCAACGUGUGUUCAUAGCUUGAGCCAAUGGAGUCUGCUACACAGAUUCAAGAUGAAGCUUGCUGGACAUUAGUGGUGCAUGCCUAAAGGUCAUCUCAGCACUUGUUAAGGCCAGCUUUAGCUACGUAGCAGGUGUGAGGCUAGCCUGGACUCCCAUAAAACCCUGUCUCAAAAAAAAAAAAAAAAAAAAAAAAAAAGACAAACCUUAACCGUAUGGGUCUACGGGUUGUUCACCGGCUGGAAGGUUCGGCGCCAAUCUUGUUUUCUCCCAUGAACGUGAUGGAGACAGUUUUCCAGCCCUUGCAGGUGUCCCACGUAGUCAUUCAUGUUCUUUAUCAGCUUCCACUCCGGGCUACUGUUACAUUGGAGCUGGGGUCUCAUAGGUACCAAGACUUCAAAGACAAGAGCACCAGCUGGAUGUGGUGCCACACACCUGUGACUCCAGCACUUGGGAGACUAAGGUGAAAGGAUCCUGAGAUCCAACUCCGCUACAUAGUGACCCCUGCCUUUAAAAAAAGAAGGAAAAAAAAAGGAAAGGGAAAAGUACCUUGAGAUCUUGAGAUGCGCAUUUUUGCAGCCUAUCUGUUCGAUACACGUUUGCUGAAGACUGCCUUUGGACCGGGCAUUGAGCCAGCAGGUCUUACAAUACUGAAGUGAAGGCAAUAACCUGGUUGCUGUUCACAGUGGCAGAUCUACGAGCCAGAGAGAAUCGUGGGUGGUUAGCCUGUUUCAGUUAGGCAAAGGAAAACAGAACCACAGGGGACAGUCGGUCCAGAAAGGCCUCAUCAAGGGAGCCGACAACAAAAUAGAUUUGUCUUCAGGAGUAUUUGCCACAUGGGCAGUGGAACAGGUGUUCAGGAAGAGGGGAGGUGGCCGGCAACAGCAGAUGCACCUGGGACCUGGGAGCCAGAGAGUGAGAACCCAGAGAGAUGAGCUGGCAGAGACUUGGGCUCCUGGCUGAAGACCUACUGUGAAGGUAGUGACUUUGCCAUAACCAGCUGAGUUCUUAUGAUAUAUUCCUGUGGCCCUCAGAAGAGGCUCACAGUGAAAGAGGUUUCCUGAGCUUCCGGAGGAACUGCAUUGACCUCUGUGAGAACUGUUAAGACUUCGGAGACUUCUAGAGAUGGAUUUGAUGCGUCUUAUAUUAUAGAGGUAUGUGGAGUUGACUGGCUCUGGGAAAAAGCUGUUGGCUAGUGGAGGCGACAAAGGGCGACUUCUGGGCACUUCGCAGAGCUGCAGUCCUGGCUGGUCGGAGGAUCACGACUAAAUGACCUAAUACCCGAAGAGACCCCAGGGCAGAAGCCAUUUCCUGCUCCAAAUGAUGGUGACUCCAACUUCCCCUCACAUCUGGCGAUGAUCUGCCUCAGUUUCAAAAGCAAGCCAAAGGGUUCCCGCAGAAUUCUGAUGGCAGUGUGAAACCCCUGUGCCCUGGGGCUGUCCGGAAAGCUGCCCACGAAAACAUCUGUUAGUCAUGGAGACAGCACCUUAAGACACAGACCUGCUACCACAUUUGAGAAACAAAGACCUGAGCUCCAGCUGAGGAGGGGAAAGGAGAAAGAACUACAGGAGGCAGAUGAGCCAUGCGGGAAUAUUCAUGACAAAAGCCACCAAGAGCUUGUGACACACCACAUUUCUCAACCUAGAAACGCUAUUUGGUCCACCCUGUGGGUAAAAUUUCCUUGUUUUCAUUUUUAUUUUUUUGAGACAAGUCUUGCUAUAUAGCCCAGGCUAGCCUGCAACUCACUAAGUAGCCUAGGGUGGACGCAAACUCUCAAUCUUCCGCCCUCAGCCUCCCCUGUGGUAGGGUUAGGGGUGCAUCACCACACCCAGCCUGGGUUCCGGGUUUAGAACAAACUGGGAAGAAACUCACAAAUCCUUUAAGUCACCCAAAAAGACAGUCCAGACACGCCACCCAAUAAACAUACAAGGAAGUGGAUGACCUUCUCCAAACAGAUUACCCCAAGUUCACAGCCCACAGGCUUAAAAUUAGGCCAAGUAAUCCUAUCAACUCAGACGUGUUCACUUUAGAAUACACCAUACAAUCUUUACAGCAAUGUCCCUCUGCCUCUUUCCACUCUGUGGCCAUUAUCCACCUGACCCAAAUAAUUACUAAUAUUUUCAGUGUCUGGAAGCAGAGUUUCCCUGUAGAUGAAACAGAGAUGGAAUAAAGGUAACUUAGAAAAAAAUGGCCCAUUUCUAGCACAGAAAUGGGAGGGGUCAGGGUCUAGAAAACUGCUGAGCCCACAUCAAUACCAGAAUCUACUGGCAAGAAGCUUUAAAAGUUGUUCUAAGGACCAUGGUUGGGCAAUACUUGCUUAAAGUAAGCUUGGGGAUUGCCACAUACCUCUAUGGUCAAGGACUGGUCACUGCUUAGUACAAGAGACGAUAACUUCUCCAAAACACUUAAGCACCACAACAACUAAGAGGUUCAAGACCCAAAUACCAACUUCCCUACCUGCUGGAAAGGCUUGGGCUUCUAACCCAGACAUCUGCCAUCAUCUUUUUACUGCGCUUCUCUCCUGUUCCACAGGCCC